AGAGAGAGAGAGAGAGAGAGAGAGGGGGGUUGAUAGUCCCCCGCGCGCUCGAGCAUGGCCUCGGAGGCCGGCUCAGCGGUGCUUGGUGCUGUUGUGCGGUCUCUUGGGAAGCUGCUCAAGUACGAGUUGGGCCUGGCCAAGACCGUGAAGAAUGGGAUUACCAGCCUCCAGCGUGAGCUCCGUUGCAUGGACGCUUUUCUUGGGGAUGGCUCCGGCAUGCCGCCCCACCAGCUUGAAUCACAGUUGCAGCUCUCGGCCCGCGAGGAGGUCCGGGAGCUGUCGCAUACCAUUGAGACACGCCUCCACUCCUUCCGGGUGCGCAUCGAGUCGACCGAGGGCUCCCGUUUUGAUGUCAUGAGAAAGGUGAGGAAGCUGAAAAUUAAGCAUGACAUAGCCAGUUACAUCAAAGAUACACAAAUCAUGGUUAAGGAGAUGCGUGAUCGGCAUGCUCAGUACCGCUCCAUGAGUUCCCGGGAAAGUACUUCCAGACGGAAAGGGGACACUCGGAGAUUUGCCACGUACACCAGGGAAUCUAACCCUGUUGGCAUAGACGGGCCAAUUGCCGAUCUGACCGAAAAGCUGUCCAAGAUCGAUCAUGUCUCCAUUGUUGGGAUGGGGGGGCUGGGCAAGACCACCCUUGCUCGAGCUCUCUAUGACAAGUUGAAAGGGCGGUUCCAUUGCGGGGCUUUUGUUCACUUCGGUCAGAGCGCUGACGUUGAGAAUGUUCUGAAGGACAUCUUGUAUGAACUUCACAUGGACAAAUAUGGCAAGGAACCAAACAUACACCAGCCAAUCAACCGGCUGCAAGAUUUCAUGCUGGAUAAGAGGUGCUUAAUUGUCAUUGAUGAUAUGUGGGAUGAGGGAAACUGGAACUUCGUCAAAGGUGUUAUUAAGGAUAGUGCUGGAACUAAAAUCAUCACCACGACUCGUAACCUUAAGAUUGCCGAAGAAGUUGGUGGCGUUUACUUGAUAAAACCACUUUCUCCUGACAACUCCAAAAAAUUACUCCGUACCAAAGCUGAAGCUGAAAGCCAUAAUACUGAAUUUGAUGAAGUGUCGGAUAAAAUUUUGCGUAAAUGCGGUGGUGUGCCAAUAGCUAUCACUAUGAUAGGUAGCUUUCUUGCUAAUAAUAAAAGCAAGGGGUGGCAUGGGGCGUAUGACUCUAUUGGUUUUGAUGAGCACAAGAAGGACGGGGCAUUCGAGCACAUAAGAAAGGUACUGUCCUGUAGCUAUUAUAAUCUACCCUACGAUAUCAAGAAAUGCUUGUUGUACCUAAGCCUUUUCCCAGAAGAUCACUGGAUCGAAAAGAAUAUGCUGAUAUGGAGGUGGGUAGCAGAAGGCCUCAUUUCUGAUGGGUUAUUUGAGACUGGAGAGGCCCAUUUCAGCGAACUAGUAGACAGGAGCAUCAUCCAGUCGGCAGUGAGCCCUCGUGAUGUGGGCCAAGGUGGUUGUCGCGUCCACAGUUUGAUGCUUGACCUCAUCCGUGACCUGUCAAGUAGCAAGAAGGAGAACUUCGCCACUGUGCUGGGCAUGAAGCAGGAGAGCACAUCUGAAACCGUACACAUUCAUAGAUUAGCCAUCCACAAAACAAGCGUAGCUCAAAAUCAAAAUACUAGCCUGGAAGUGGGGGAGGUGCUGUCAUUUUAUGCCAGCACGUGUCCCGGUAGUAGCUUUCCCCCACUCUCGAGGUUUAAACGGCUCCGUGUAAUAGAUCUGGAAGAUUGUGAUUUAUCCGUCGAGGAUUGCAAACUGAGGCACCUCGAGAAGUUGGCUGGGCUGGGGUACAUUGGGCUUGUCGGCACCCAUGUGACCGAGCUCCCGAAGAAGAUGGGACGCCUCAAGUUCCUACAAACACUCGACGUGACGGCAACUGGCCUCAGUGAGCUGCCAUCAUUCAUCGAGGAUCUGAAGAAACUGAGGUGCCUGCGAGUUGGCAAGGGCACGAGGAUCAUGGGCCGGAUAGGGGAGCUGACGUCCCUGGAAGAGCUGUGGCUGCACUCGGCUGACAAGUCCCCGGGCUUCGUUAUUGAGCUCCGAAAGCUGACCGAGCUGCGGGUGCUGGUGAUCCACUUCGACGAGAUUGAUGAUGGUAUGAAAGAGGCGCUGGUGGAGUCCCUGCAUCAACUGGAGAAGCUCCAGGUCCUACAAGUCUGGUCAGACACAGAGGAGAAGGUCCCCCUUGGCAGCUGGGAAGCUAGCAUGCCCUUCCCGCAGCUCCGCCAGCUGUUGUUGUUCGGAGUCAUCCUACCCAGGCCGAUGUCGUGGAUCCACCGCUUGUUUGUGCCGAAACUCUCCAAGCUACUGCUGCAGGUGGUGGUCUUGGAGAAGCAGCACCUGGAGAUCCUCGGGCAGAUGCCGUCGCUCCACUCGCUCUACCUCCACAGUGAGGAUGACAAGUACCGGCUGUCAUAUACCGCCAACAAGAAUGAGUUCAAGGUGUUGGAAUACAUCAACACGAACAUAGAGUUGAUAUGCGGUGACGGGGGGCUACCAAUGAUCCAGGAGCUGGAGGUCGGCGGCAUCAGGGCAGGAAGGGACGUUGGCCUGCGGGGGAACAUGCCUCUACUCCAGAGGGCCACCUACCACCUCGACUGUGUGGCCCGCCUCCCUCUCCGGGUGCGGAAGGCAGAGGAAGAGCUACGGCAGGCGGGGAAAGCACACCCCAACCGUCCCGAAAUCACCAUAAGGAGAUGGAACAACGUCGUGACGGAGAUAUGGCCCAAGAUGGAACAAAUCCAAGGGACCUCCCUGAGGCUUGUGAGGCCCUCAUCCUCGGAAGAAAAUAUAUUUCUAGAUAAUAACCCUGAAAGUUUAAAGCAAAUGUCGGAAGAUUUUGCCCGGCUUGAGCUAGACAACCCUAUCGGAGCACCACCGGCCCUCAGAGUGGAUGACGCUACAGAUGCCACAGGCUCUCCAUCUCAGGGAGCAGCUCUUAUCGAGUUCUAUUUUAAGUCCAUGCUCAAGGUCCAUGAGGAUAUUACUGACAUCACGCGAAAUGAGGACGCAGACGCAAACGCAAGUUCAGAAGGAAACGAUGGUGCAGGUCCCAUUGGUGAGCUGCUGCCUGAGCCCGACGCCACCGGCACUUUGCUCUCCGCUGUGCUCUCCUGGUUCAACAGCCAGGAUGGAGCCGCUAAAAUGUCGAAGAAAGCUGAUAUGCAUGGAAUGGAUCUCGUCGCUUAUAAGAGAAUAUGGAAGAAGUGCGUGCUGAACCCCGAGUUGAUUGCAAUCAUGGACAGCGUGGUGCACGAGAAUGAAGCUUCUGAAUACGUGCGGCUCCACGAGCAGCUGAUGGGCCAAGAAAUCCUGGAUUAUAUGGCCGGACACGACAUCGACGAGCCAUCCUCCCCGCCUGGAUAUGUUGGUAGUAGCCCUGAGCCACUGCCACCUAAGGUCGACGCUGACAACAUGCACUCCUGGCUCGUCGGCAUGUAUGGAGCCGCUCAUGUGUCGGCUCUUAUGUCGAAGGGAGCUGCUAAGUUUGGAAUUGAUCCCACUGCUUUCGAGACAAUGUGGAUGAAGUACGUGCUGAACCCCGAGCAGGUUGCAGACAUGGACAGCGCGGUGCAGAACCAUGACGGUUCUGAAUUCAAGCGGCUCAUAGCGCAGGUGAUGGAGGCAGAAAACUCCAGGCCACCACCUAAGCUCGACAUCUACGACACUUUUAUCCUCUGGCGUAACACCACGGAUGGAGCCGCUGCUAUGUCGGAGGGAGCUGCUGAGUUUGGAAUGGAUCCCGCUGCUUUUGAGAGAAUAUUGAAGAAGUGCAUGCUGAACCCCGAGUUGAUUCCAGCCAUGGACAGCGCGUUGCAGGACGAUGACGGCUCUUGGAUGGAGCUGAUGAAGCAGCUGGUGGAGCCAGAAACCAUGCAUUAUUUCACCGAGCAAUACAUGGACGGGCCAUCCUCCACGCCUGGAUAUGCUGAUGAUGGACAGGCCGAUGGUAGCAGUAGUGGCCAAGAUGGUGAGAAGGUCUCCAGGAUGCUGAGGCAAGUGUUGCCGACCGUGGAACAGGUCCUUAAAGCUGGUGCGAGCAGUAGACAGCCUAGCGCAGCUCAGGUCAUUGCCGACAACGAGCUCAACUAUGGAGGACCGGCUGAUGCCAGCGGCAUGCUCUCCGGUUUAUCCAGUAGCCCGGCCCACGCAGCUCAAUCUGAUAUGAUAGACGUCGUAGCAAGAAGCACUGCUACUGUGGCGCAGAUUAUACAAAAUGGUGAGAACUCCUUGACGAUGUUCAACUGGAAUGAACGACUCGCGGCCUUGGAGAAGGCAUCUGCUGCUGGUGAGAACUCCUCGACGGUAUUCAACUUGAAUGAACUAAAGGAACUGAACGAACUGAUCGCAGCCUUGGAGAAUGGCCCAUCUCAGCGGAAACAAUGUCAGCGACGAAGAAGGCGGAGGCGUGCAAGCAGCCUUAAAAAUCAUCCCCGUGCGUCCUGAAGGUUGAUGAUGCUUGGUCGGCCUCCGGACUUAUGAGCGAAAAAAAAAAGCAAAAAAGAAAAAUAUAAAAGCAAAAAAAAUCUAAACCCCAAAAAAGCAAAAAAAUGUUUUAUUUAAAAAAAUGAAAAACGCAAAAAGGACAUAUUUUGGGAGGGUGGGUGGGGAACUCCGCCUAUGCCAUUUGCAUAGCCGGUCCCAAGCCCGGAUAAAAGGAGGAGGGGCCAACCGUAUGUUAAUUUAGAGCGUAAUAAUGUGUUGUAUUGGCUAAACCAUUUUAUAGCACAACUCCAACUUCCUGUAGAAAGAGUAACUAUAACAAACACCGAAUAUGAUUUCUCCCAGUAAUUCCCAAAUAAAAAAUUACUCUAUUUUAAAAAAACUGUGUGGGUGUUUUUAGAGGGUAACUGACUCCACUUUAUUUAAUAAAAAACGUCUGCAAUCUCCGCCGCUACUACAUGCAAAAUGCAAUCCGGCGGUGAUUAAUCUGCAUGUGUGUUGGGAAGAGGGUCUCAGCUUGAGGUCAAAUCCACAGUUCAACACGACAACACGGACAAGUGGAGGAAAUACACCCAGACCACGCCGGGAUAAGCCGAGUGUGUUGGGCAAGUGCCACGCAUGAUGAGGACAACAUUGCGCGCAACCGCAGUGCGUUGCAUUGCAGACAAGUCGGCGACCAUGCGCCCACAAGCACCCCUGGGCAUGCAUGCUGGACAAGAUAGCGAGCAGGCAUCGGUGCACGAUCUUGAGCAUGAAACCUACUCCUCCGUUCCUAAAUAUUUGUCUUUCUAGAUAUUUUAAAUGACUACUACAUACGGAUGUAUGUAGACAUAUUUUAGAGUGUAAAUUCACUCAUUUUGCUCCGUACGUAGUCACUUGUUGAAAUGCCUAGAAAGAUAAGUAUUUAGAAACGGAGGGAGUAGGCAACAUGGCGAGCACACAUCAACUAGUGGUCCCAGGCAUGAACCCAUAUGCAAGAUGGAGAUGUUGCACCCCGGCGCGCGGCUCCCCUCGAGUAAUAUAUAUAUGGCGAGCGUACACCUACGUUCAAUCCCAAGUAAGAUGGCGAGUGCGCACCUGCAUGCGACCCCAGCAUAAAGCUCUGGCAAGAAGACAGCAUGUCAUGCGGUGUCUGUACAAACUAGAAAAAAGAUAUGUCUAAGCAUAUGCCUUAGGAUAGGGCAUCAGAUUAUAAAUUACCGCAAGUGUUACGAUGUGAUCAGGAUAAGAGUAAGAUCAUAAACUGCCUAGGGGCAGAAAUGAAAUUUCACACGUGCCUCUCAAGCGUAUAAAUAAGAGAGC
rnacentral:rRNA from 1 species